ensembl:lncRNA
UUACUAAAGCCUGUUCCCUCAACAACCAGGACAUUCACUUAGUGUUACAUAACACAGACGUGGGAACAACACACAGUUAGUUAAGUGUUGUCACCACGAAAGACAGGAGAGUUUCUAUCUACUACACUCUGGAACAAAGACAUAAGAAACGGCUUUUCAUUUCGCCUGACGACCCCAAAAACGUGACCAAAAAUGGCCAAACAGCUUGAAGGAGAAAGUUAGCGACGCUUCCAGACUAGUGGAGGGUUGGCCACACAACUGCGCCAUCCCAGACAGAGUAUCCUUAACUAUUGUUAUCAUCAUUGAAAUCAUUCGGUUUUCCGAAGAGAGAUGUGAACUUUAAGGCCUCUGCAGUUGACCGCCAAAGUGAUGAUGUGGUUGUCACCACAACACCCGUUCCCCACAACCAGACCACCUCUGCCCCUACUGAAGCUGGUGGUGGUGCAAGUGAAUAUGCUGUGGCUACUACCCCAGCACCUAAUCCACACAACCAGUCAACUUCUGCACAAACUGAAGUUACUGGUAGGGUGUUUCUUUUUAGUUUUUGUGUGGUUUUCUGCAAGUUUGGUUUUUGUAUAAAAUGUGUAAGUGUGUCCCUUGGCUUCUCUCUGGCCCCCUCACUCAUGUGGAAUCCCAAGAUGGGGCCAGUGAAGAUGCUGUGGACCGCCAAAGUGAUGAUGUGGUUGUCGCCACAACACCCAAUCCCCACAACCAGACCACAUCUGCCCCUACUGAAGCUGGUGGUGAGGUUUCCUUUUAACGAUAUUUAUGGGUUCUAUUGAGUCUUGAUUGUGUUGGUUAAAUGUUGACUCUUGUAUGUUUAUCCUAAGGUGGAGCAAGUGAAGAUGCUGUGGCUACUACCCCAGCACCUAAUCCACACAACCAGACAACUUCUGCACAAACGGAAGUUACUGGUAGGGUGUUUCUUUUUAGUUUUUGUGUGGUUUUCUGCAAGUUUGGUUUUUGUAUAAAAUGUGUAAGUGUGUCCCUUGGUUUCUCUCUGGCCCCCUCACUCAUGUGGAAUCCCAAGAUGAAGCCAGUGAAGAUGCUGUGGACCGCCAAAGUGAUGUGGUUUCCACCACAACACCCAAUCCCCACAACCAGACCACAUCUGCCCCUACUGAAGCUGGUGGAGGGUUUUUAAAAAAAAAAAAAUGUUUACGAUAUUUAUGGAUUCUGUUGAGUCUUGAUUGUGUUGGUUAAAUGUUCACUUUUGUAUGGUUAUCCUAAGAUGGAGCAAGUGAAGAUGAUUCAGAUGAUGAUGAUGCUGCAAGUGAAGAUGAUGAUUCUGCAAAUGAAGAUGAUGAUGCUGCAAGUGAAGAUGCUGUGGCUACCACCCCAACACCAAAUCCCCCAACUACAUCUCACCACACUGCAGCUACCGGUAAGGACAUCAGUGCAUGUCUGUUUUGAUGGAACACUUUGAAUGUUUGCGCCCCCCUUUUGACAGUGUCCCUUUCUAUUUGUGCGUAAUCGCAAGAUGAUGCAAGUGAGGGUGCUGUGGCUGCCUAAACUGGAACUACUGGUAAGGGAGUUAUGAUUAUACAAGGAACCACUUGGAUGGUCCAAACCGUUUGCUCUUCUGGGUCUAGGAACUUUGAGUGUUGUGGUUUGGCAUGAUCACUCGUUAAUGUUUAAAAAUGCAGCCUGGCAGGUCUCUAACAAAUCUAUACCUGUAGUCACAAAUGUUUGUUUGGUUGAAGUUGAACAGCUCUGCCUGGCGCAGUGGCAUACCAUAGGAUUUCAGACAAUAAAUGUGCAAUUAAAAAGGUUUUUGUUUCUUCU